rnacentral:sRNA from 1 species
GUUUUCCAUUUUCUUGAAAUUAAAAAGAAAAAAAACCGAAAUAAUGAAAAAUUCGGGGUUAGCCUUUGCCAAAGUGUACCCACCCACAAUUUACCCAGAAUUUUUAUUCAUGCAACCCCAGAUCACUGAAUACGAAAUGUAUAUCAUUUUUCACGCGGGGUUCCAACUAUGGCGGCUAGAUGAUGAAGGAAUAACAAGCAACGUACUGCUAAAUAAAAGGACUGAAGCAGCGUAUUGUUGAUAAUCAGACCUAUGCUUGGUACAAAAUUGUAAUGGAAUUAUGGAAAUCACAAUAUAAAACACAGUUUUUUGUUCAUGAUUAGUUCUCAACAAAAUUCUGGGGAAACAGGUGGAAUACCAUAAGCACCGCUUCCACAAUCAUCAACAUGUUGUAAUCUUCUUUCUUUGGAAGCAGCAGUCCUUUAUUACUUUUCUUUUAGUAAAUCCCUGAUCUGCGUAAUAUUGCAAGUUCUUUUUUAUCGGCCUCCUUAUAUAUAUAUAUAUAUAUAUAUCUAUAUUCACUAAUACUCGGGGUGUUUUUUUUUUUUUAGCCGCUGAAGUGAGGAUCAAAAAUCAAUAGCUCGGAAGGUUAAAGGUUGUUAAGAUAGUAUAUACAUAUAUAUGUACAUAUUGUUGGAAUAAAAAUCCACUAUCGUCUAUCAACUAAUAGUUAUAUUAUCAAUAUAUUAUCAUAUACGGUGUUAAGAUGAUGACAUAAGUUAUGAGAAGCUGUCAUCGAUGUUAGAGGAAGCUGAAACGCAAGGAUUGAUAAUGUAAUAGGAUCAAUGAAUAUAAACAUAUAAAACGGAAUGAGGAAUAAUCGUAAUAUUAGUAUGUAGAAAUAUAGAUUCCAUUUUGAGGAUUCCUAUAUCCUCGAGGAGAACUUCUAGUAUAUUCUGUAUACCUAAUAUUAUAGCCUUUAUCAACAAUGGAAUCCCAACAAUUAUCUAAUUACCCACAUAUAUCUCACAUAUACAUAUACAUAUAUACAUUUUGAAUUACAUACUUCAGUAGGGAAUGGUAUAAAUUUUUUCGUACGGUAAUA